rnacentral:misc_RNA from 2 species
AACGCACAUUGCGCCCUUCGGUUAUUCCUUAGGGCAUGCCUGUUCGAGCGUCAUUUCAACCUUCAAGCCCAGCUUGGUGUUGGGCGUUGUCCCGCCUCUUGCGCGCGGACUCGCCCCAAAUUGAUUGGCAGUCGCAUCCACCGAGCCGCGAGCGCAGCACAAGUCGCGCGAGCCGGCGAGGCGGCAAGGACGCUCCACAAGACCCUUUUUUACAAGUCUUGACCUCGGAUCAGGUAGGGAUACCCGCUGAACUUAA